CUCCCCCACCCGAAGAAAGUGCAGCGGUUCCCUCUGCGCCCCCGCGCGCCCCGCCCGGCGCCGCCCCACGCCUCAGGCCCCUUUUCCAGUCGGGGCGGGGAGGAAAAGGGGUCGAGGACCCGGGACCGUGGGGCGCGUCGCGGCUCCUGUGGGUCGCGCCCUUGGCCCCGUCGCCCAGCCCAGAGAAGCCCGCUCCGCGUGGAGGCGGGUCCUCCAGGGCCUCCCCCACAGCCGGUCCUGAGCCCGGACGUCUCGCCCGCAACCCAGAGGCGCCGGGGUCCACUGCUGCCAGCCUGCAGCCCAGGGGAGGGCUGGCUCGGCCGUGUAGCCUCAAAGCCCGGGCUCCCCGCCCGCAGGGCCAGCGCGCCGGGCAAGACCCUCCAGCGCGCCCUGAGUUUGCGCGCCUCGCACGUCCAGAUGUCCAAGUGCGAACCCCUCGGAAGCGGAGCCCUGCAUCAGUCACCACCGAGAAAGGCAAAUGCUAGCUUGAAAUGAAAACAUCAGAGAGAAAAAUCCUUUCGGAAUGAGGGGCCCUGGCUGGCUUUGCCACCACGGAAGGUUCCAGAGACACGGCAGAGCCAAAGGCAAAUUAAAACACACCCUGUCAAAAGAUUUCCGCUGUCUCCCAAGUAUUUAUUUUUUGGAACUUGGCGAAGGAGGGUUUAAUUAAGACACCCUCAGGCGGGAGCCUUGUGCAGAGUGGAAGAGGCUGACGGUUCUUGGGAGUCCAUCAGGACGGCUCGGAGCAUGCGGCUCAGGUCAGGGGCAGAAGGCAUGGUCAGCUCCGGGGGCUGCGCAGACCCAGCUUCCCUGGCUGCAAGCCCUCAAGGAGCUCCACCAGCUAAGUGUUCUAAUAAAGCGUG
rnacentral:lncRNA from 1 species